rnacentral:lncRNA from 1 species
UAGCCCAGCAGCGCACCAGCUCGCUGCUAGGGAGGGUUCUGGGGGGCCAGUGGACACUCAAGGUGAGGAAAGCGAAACAGAGUGCGUGGGGCCGUAGUGAGGGUAAUUGUGCGGCCGCUGUCUGCGAAGUGCUUGGUGGGACGACGCUGCGUUGUGUUUUGUUGUAUAGCAUGGCUUGUCGGAAUCUGUGGUGGAUGGAUGACCCUCGGGCUCCAUAUGGGAAAACGUUUGCGCGAACAUGUAUACGGACAUGGUCAUACGAACCAUGGGUGAAAAAAUCUACUCUUACUGCAGUAAACGCAAAAACCUGUGGUUUCAAUAUCAAUUGGAGCCCGUCAUCGCCCACCCUCCCCAAACCCCGGAACGAACCCCAACUGCCAUCACUGGUGCUGCAGGACCUGAGCUUCUACGCUGGUGCAGCAGUCUGCAUCUUGGUGCUGACGGGUCCUGUGGCCCUACAGACCUCCCGGCUACCCCUACUUGCACUGCUGUUCAUGACUGCCGCCUGCGAGCGGGCCCUGCGGCAAUACAUGCAGAUAUGGCUGCCUCUGCUGGAAGGCGCUGUGGUAGGUAUGAAGGGGCAACCAAGCAGACGAAGAAAAUAUAGCUCUUCGGAGACGUGCCAUAGCGCCUGUCCAUGCGGACGUUGCCUCACCUGACAUGGAUCUGCAGCUGACAGCGGUUUCAGCGUAUCAGAUUCGAAGUCGAAGUGAUCAUACACCGCAUCGCCUCCUGCAGCCAUUACUAUCCCUACGGCCAGCAUCACAUGUCGGUGUCAUCCCAAUGCUAGGAGGUUCGUAUCACCACGUCUCCAAACCGCCGCGUUAAGGUGCACUCGCCGGCAAACAGGUCGCUUAUCACGACGUCCUCGCAGCCCUGAGCCCCCGCACAACACCCUGUCCGCUCCCGUUGCUCCCGC